AUCACAAUUUAUAUUAUACGUGCAGUGAUAAUAUAAUUUAAUGGUUGUAUAACCAUUAAAUCAUGUAGAGUUUCUCUAUGUAUUAAAAUAUAUUACUCUGUAAACCGUAUCAACUGCUAAACCAAAUAUUGGGCUACUUUACCUACAAAUUCGCUACUUUUAGAUCGUCAGCUCGCUACUUUCAACAACUCGGAUCUAGCAACCCUGAACUUCCCACAACAGCAGCUGCUAGCUGGUUGUUGCUCUCGUAUUAUGACCAAUUCUUCAUAUUAAAGGAUGAUUUGUGGUGGAAAGACAGACACUUGAGUUCCCAAGAUCUGAAGAAGAAAGAAGAAGAAACUCUUCUAGUGCCAACACCCAGUGGCAAUAGAGCUGAAGUGUCAGAAAUACUGUGUACAUGAUAGUUUCAACAGUGUUAUGAAGUACCUCACAGUAUCAGAUAUACUGCAAACACAAUGUCAUUAGCAGUGUCAUGAAAGCCAUUACCAUGUCAGUAAAACUGCAACUACAGUAUAAGGGUAAAACUUUGCUUGAGCUCAUUUCCAUAUAUUAUUACAUGCACAGCCUGAGCAUCCUGUAGAUUAAUGUUUACUCGACUCCUUUAAAUAUUGUCAUGUCUUGCAUUAUCACAUUGUUAACACCUUCAUCUGAAGCAAUGUUCAUGCAUUAACAGCAUCUCACGGACUAUCACCAUGGUAACACUCGUUUAAAGCCCUGUAUGUGUACAGUGUAUUAUCAGUAUCUCAUUCUAUAUGUCACCAUGGGAACAAAAGGAAUGUUUAUUUAAAAUUAAAUUUAUUGUAUGGUUGAUAAUUCAUUGUGUUGGGGGACAGGCAGUCAGUGUAUAUGUACAUGUUAGGCUUAUAUCGAGAUUCUGCCCAGGGUUGAAUUAUUGAUCCUCCACAGGAUACAGCCCUACAAUAAGCUAACUCCUGGGUGCUUCUUUCUGCUAGAUAAACAGGAGCAUUAGAAGAUAGGAAAUUUGCCCAAUCAUUUUUGUACCACCCGGAAUUCCCGAUUGUGAGUAAAGUAGUACAAAAACCAAUCGUACUACCAGGGACUCUUGAUGUAUCUUGGCAUUUGAUCUCUGUAUUUGUUAAUAAUACAUUGAGUGUAAUUGUUCUGUAUGUUUAUAUUAUUUUUAUUUUGAAAGAAAACAUUUCAAGGUUAUUUAAAUGAGUUAUUUUUACAAUAUAAUUUUAUUUUUUUAUCAAAUUUUUCAUAAAAAUUUUCCAUUGUAAAAAAUCACUUUUUUUUUCAUUAUAUGAAAGAGCAUUCUUAAAAAAACUUGUGUAUACCGUAUGAUAAAUAUGGAUUUAAGUAAUUUACUCUUGAAGUUCAUAGGACUACCUAAAUAAGGUAAUAUAUGUAAUAAGACAUAUUUGUGGGUAUAUCUAUAAUUAGACAUCCCAUAGUGCUAUGGUUAUAGUAAGACAUUCCACAUUACUGUUGUUAUAUUUAUUAUAAGAUAUCCCACAUUACUGUGGUUAUAUUUAUAAUAAGACAUUCAACAGCACUGCAGUUUUAUUUAUAAUAAGACAGACCUUAGUACUGCUGCUAUAUAAUACAACAUCCUGCAGUGCCAUAAAAAAGUCUUUGUUUUCUUUGGAAGUUAUUCAAAGGCAUAUGGUACAUUCUUGAAAAUUUCAAAAUAAACAUUUUGGUACUGGAUUUGUUUGAUGUAUUUACAAAUUCAUGCACAGACAUAAAUUUUGAUGAUGUUGGGUUAUGUGUUGAACAGCUUACAUUUAUAUGUAAGCUUUUACACUCUGUAAUUCAUUUGAUAUAUUGUACAGUAUAUUUUAAGUCUAGUAUAUUUUAUAAUAUGGACACAAUGUUUUCAUACUGUUCAGGAAUCAAUAAGAUCAAUGGUUUACAUAUUGUCAAAUUUUGCAUUAACUUUUACAAUUAACAUGUUAAUAAUUUGCUUUAUAUUCAUAUCUAGGAUAUUGGGAAAUUUUCAUUAGUUCAUAUGAUAUUCAGUGCCAUCACUUGACAGCAGAGGUAACACUUCAUAAUAUGGCUGCUCUAUGCUGGCUGCAAGGUAAUAACUUGUAUUAAUUACAUAUCCCACAAUUCAAGCAUUUAGCAUCUUUAAUAACAUUUGCUUUAGUAAUAUUCAAAAACUCGUGCAAAAUAAAAACCAUAUGUUAUUGAGACUUUUCUCUAAUAUUUAUAAAGCAAACAAUAAUGUAUUCAGCAGAAAAUACUUAAAAUCAUUGUCUACUAGACUUUACUAAUUUUUAGUAAUAAAACUUUACUAAUAUAAAUAUUUACUAAAAUAACUGUUCAUACUCAUCAGUGGGAACUUUUUUUUUUCAAAAAUAAAAACCUCAUCAGUGAUGAAUGUUCAAAAAACUGUCUCAAAAUAUCUCAUCAAAUAACAUACAAAGAUUUAAUGACAAUCCUUAAUAUUUAUUUUCUUAUCUAAAAACUACUUUCAGAAGUAUUAAAAGUUAAAUAUGAGUGCUCAUUUAGGAGAGAAACCAUAUCAAUGUUCAGUAUGUCUAAAAGAUUAUGCACAGAGACAUCAUCUAAUACAGCACAUUAGGAUUCAUACAGGAGAGAAACCAUAUCAAUGUUCAGUAUGUCUAAAAGCCUUUAUCUCUAAAUCAAAUCUAACAAAGCACAUUAGGAUUCAUACAGGAGAGAAACCAUAUCAAUGUUCAGUAUGUCUAAAAGAUUUUUCACAAAAACAUCAUCUAAUAAAGCACUUUAGAAUUCAUACAGGAGAGAAACCAUUUCACUGUUCUGAGUGCCUAAAAGAAUUUUCAAGUAAAUCAAAUCUAAUUAGACACAUUAGCAUUCAUUCAGGAGAGAAACCAUAUCAAUGUUCAGUAUGUCUAAAAGCCUAUUCACAGAAAUCAAUUCUAAUAAAACACAUGAAGAUUCAUACAAUAUAAAGACCAUGUCAGUAUUCUGUUUCUAAAAGGUUUUUCAUAUAAAUUGAGCCUAUUAAGACAUGAAACCUCAUAUAGAAGGACAAUGACAUUUUUUUGUAGUUACAACAGGUAAUAUGGAACCCAUAACAGAGCUUUUAUUGUUUAAAAGACUUUUUAUGAAUUUAACCUAGUUAGCCCACUCUCGUGGUUGUUUGACCACUAUGACAGCUUUAACCCAUGGGCUGCUCUUGUGAUUAUAGCCUGCAACAUGCCUAGGCACAAGAAAUAAAAAAAAAAAUAAAGAUAAAAA